rnacentral:rRNA from 1 species
UACAGAGGUCUCGAGCGUUGUUCGGAUUCAUUGGGCGUAAAGGGUGCGUAGGUGGCGCCGUAAGUCGGGUGUGAAAGCCCAUGGCUUAACUGUGGGUCUGCGGUGGAUACGGGCUGGCUAGAGGUAGGUAGGGGCAAGCGGAAUUCCUGGUGUAGCGGUGAAAUGCGCAGAUAUCAGGAGGAACACCGGUGGCGAAGGCGGCUUGCUGGGCCUUACCUGACGCUGAGGAGCGAAAGCGUGGGGAGCGAACAGG